rnacentral:rRNA from 1 species
GAUGAACGCUGGCGGCGUGCUUAAUACAUGCAAGUCGAGCGAACAGAUAAGGAGCUUGCUCCUUUGACGUUAGCGGCGGACGGGUGAGUAACACGUGGGUAACCUACCUAUAAGACUGGAAUAACUCCGGGAAACCGGGGCUAAUGCCGGAUAACAUUUAGAACCGCAUGGUUCUAAAGUGAAAGAUGGUUUUGCUAUCACUUAUAGAUGGACCCGCGCCGUAUUAGCUAGUUGGUAAGGUAACGGCUUACCAAGGCAACGAUACGUAGCCGACCUGAGAGGGUGAUCGGCAACACUGGAACUGAGACACGGUCCAGACUCCUACGGGAGGCAGCAGUAGGGAAUCUUCCGCAAUGGGCGAAAGCCUGACGGAGCAACGCCGCGUGAGUGAUGAAGGUCUUCGGAUCGUAAAACUCUGUUAUUAGGGAAGAACAAAUGUGUAAGUAACUGUGCACGUCUUGACGGUACCUAAUCAGAAAGCCACGGCUAACUACGUG